rnacentral:rRNA from 1 species
GAUCCUGGCUCAGGAUGAACGCUGGCGGCGUGCCUAACACAUGCAAGUCGAACGAAGCACUUAUCUUCGAAUCUUUCGGGAUGAAGAGAUAUUUGACUGAGUGGCGAACGGGUGAGUAACGCGUGGGUAACCUGCCUCAUACAGGGGGAUAACAGUUAGAAAUGACUGCUAAUACCGCAUAAGCGCACGGAAUCGCAUGAUUCAGUGUGAAAGCCGAGACGGU